GAUGAACGCUGACAGCAUGCUUAACACAUCAGCAACUGAUUGCUUGCGGACGGGUUUGUAACGCGUAGAGUACUUCCCUCACAGCUAGGGACAACAUUUGGAAACGAAUGCUAAUACCUAAUACUGUGCGAGAGCUUUGCGUCCCAUUAGCUAGUUGGAGAGGUAACGGCUCACCAAGGCGAUGAUGGGUCGCCGGCCUGAGAGGGUGAUCGGCCACAAGGGGACUGGGACACGGCCCUUACUCAUACGGGAGGCAGGAGUGGGGAAUAUUGGACAAUGGACCAAAGUCUGAUCCAGCAAUUCUGUGUGCACGAUGAAGUUUUCGGAAUGUAAAGUGCUUUCAGGUGGGAAGCGGUACCAACAGAAGAAGUGACGGCUAAAUACGUGCCAGCAGCCGCGGUAAUUC
rnacentral:rRNA from 1 species